rnacentral:rRNA from 1 species
UACAGAGGGUGCAAGCGUUAAUCGGAAUUACUGGGCGUAAAGCGUGCGCAGGCGGUUUUGUAAGCCAGAUGUGAAAUCCCCGGGCUUAACCUGGGAAUGGCAUUUGGGACUGCAAGGCUUGAGUGCGGCAGAGGAGACUGGAAUUCCUGGUGUAGCAGUGAAAUGCGUAGAUAUCAGGAGGAACACCGAUGGCGAAGGCAGGUCUCUGGGCUGACACUGACGCUCAUGCACGAAAGCGUGGGGAGCAAACAGG